rnacentral:rRNA from 1 species
UGCGGAUUUGGGCGAAGCCUGAUGCAGCCAUGCCGCGUGUAUGAAGAAGGCCUUCGGGUUGUAAAGUACUUUCAGCGGGGAGGAAGGGAGUAAAGUUAAUACCUUUGCUCAUUGACGUUACCCGCAGAAGAAGCACCGGCUAACUCCGUGCCAGCAGCCGCGGUAAUAG